rnacentral:rRNA from 1 species
GACGAACGCUGGCGGCGUGCUUAACACAUGCAAGUCGAACGAUGAACCCGGAGCUUGCUCCGGUGGAUUAGUGGCGAACGGGUGAGUACCACGUGAGUAACCUGCCCUUGACUCUGGGAUAACUGCGGGAAACUGUAGCUAAUACCGGAUACGACCCUCGGCGGCAUCGCCAGGGGGUGGAAAGAAUUUCGGUCAAGGAUGGACUCGCGGCCUAUCAGCUAGUUGGUGAGGUAACGGCUCACCAAGGCGACGACGGGUAGCCGGCCUGAGAGGGUGACCGGCCACACUGGGACUGAGACACGGCCCAGACUCCUACGGGAGGCAGCAGUGGGGAAUAUUGGGCAAUGGAGGAAACUCUGACCCAGCGACGCCGCGUGAGGGAUGAAGGCCUUCGGGUUGUAAACCUCUUUCAGCAGGGAAUAAGCGAAAGUGAAGGUACCUGCAGAAGAAGCACCGGCUAACUAUGUGCCAGCCGCCGCGGUAA